GGGUUGUGAGGUUAAGCGACUAAGCGUACACGGUGGAUGCCCCGGCAGUCAGAGGCGAUGAAGGACGUGCUAAUCUGCGAUAAGCGUCGGUAAGGUGAUAUGAACCGUUAUAACCGGCGAUUUCCGAAUGGGGAAACCCAGUGUGAUUCGUCACACUAUCAUUAACUGAAUCCAUAGGUUAAUGAGGCGAACCGGGGGAACUGAAACAUCUAAGUACCCCGAGGAAAAGAAAUCAACCGAGAUUCCCCCAGUAGCGGCGAGCGAACGGGGAGCAGCCCAGAGCCUGAAUCAGUGUGUGUGUUAGUGGAAGCGUCUGGAAAGGCGCGCGAUACAGGGUGACAGCCCCGUACACAAAAAUGCACAUGCUGUGAGCUCGAUGAGUAGGGCGGGACACGUGGUAUCCUGUCUGAAUAUGGGGGGACCAUCCUCCAAGGCUAAAUACUCCUGACUGACCGAUAGUGAACCAGUACCGUGAGGGAAAGGCGAAAAGAACCCCGGCGAGGGGAGUGAAAAAGAACCUGAAACCGUGUACGUACAAGCAGUGGGAGCACGCUUAGGCGUGUGACUGCGUACCUUUUGUAUAAUGGGUCAGCGACUUAUAUUCUGUAGCAAGGUUAACCGAAUAGGGGAGCCGAAGGGAAACCGAGUCUUAACUGGGCGUUAAGUUGCAGGGUAUAGACCCGAAACCCGGUGAUCUAGCCAUGGGCAGGUUGAAGGUUGGGUAACACUAACUGGAGGACCGAACCGACUAAUGUUGAAAAAUUAGCGGAUGACUUGUGGCUGGGGGUGAAAGGCCAAUCAAACCGGGAGAUAGCUGGUUCUCCCCGAAAGCUAUUUAGGUAGCGCCUCGUGAAUUCAUCUCCGGGGGUAGAGCACUGUUUCGGCAAGGGGGUCAUCCCGACUUACCAACCCGAUGCAAACUGCGAAUACCGGAGAAUGUUAUCACGGGAGACACACGGCGGGUGCUAACGUCCGUCGUGAAGAGGGAAACAACCCAGACCGCCAGCUAAGGUCCCAAAGUCAUGGUUAAGUGGGAAACGAUGUGGGAAGGCCCAGACAGCCAGGAUGUUGGCUUAGAAGCAGCCAUCAUUUAAAGAAAGCGUAAUAGCUCACUGGUCGAGUCGGCCUGCGCGGAAGAUGUAACGGGGCUAAACCAUGCACCGAAGCUGCGGCAGCGACGCUUAUGCGUUGUUGGGUAGGGGAGCGUUCUGUAAGCCUGCGAAGGUGUGCUGUGAGGCAUGCUGGAGGUAUCAGAAGUGCGAAUGCUGACAUAAGUAACGAUAAAGCGGGUGAAAAGCCCGCUCGCCGGAAGACCAAGGGUUCCUGUCCAACGUUAAUCGGGGCAGGGUGAGUCGACCCCUAAGGCGAGGCCGAAAGGCGUAGUCGAUGGGAAACAGGUUAAUAUUCCUGUACUUGGUGUUACUGCGAAGGGGGGACGGAGAAGGCUAUGUUGGCCGGGCGACGGUUGUCCCGGUUUAAGCGUGUAGGCUGGUUUUCCGGCAAAUCCGGAAAACUAAGGCUGAGGCGUGAUGACGAGGCACUACGGUGCUGAAGCAACAAAUGCCCUGCUUCCGGGAAAAGCCUCUAAGCAUCAGGUAACAUCAAAUCGUACCCCAAACCGACACAGGUGGUCAGGUAGAGAAUACCAAGGCGCUUGAGAGAACUCGGGUGAAGGAACUAGGCAAAAUGGUGCCGUAACUUCGGGAGAAGGCACGCUGAUAUGUAGGUGAAGUCCCUCGCGGAUGGAGCUGAAAUCAGUCGAAGAUACCAGCUGGCUGCAACUGUUUAUUAAAAACACAGCACUGUGCAAACACGAAAGUGGACGUAUACGGUGUGACGCCUGCCCGGUGCCGGAAGGUUAAUUGAUGGGGUCAGCGCAAGCGAAGCUCUUGAUCGAAGCCCCGGUAAACGGCGGUACCGUAACUAUAACGGUCCUAAGGUAGCGAAAUUCCUUGUCGGGUAAGUUCCGACCUGCACGAAUGGCGUAAUGAUGGCCGGCUGUCUCCACCCGAGACUCAGUGAAAUUGAACUCGCUGUGAAGAUGCAGUGUACCCGCGGCAAGACGGAAAGACCCCGUGAACCUUUACUAUAGCUUGACACUGAACAUUGAGCCUUGAUGUGUAGGAUAGGUGGGAGGCUUUGAAGUGUGGACGCCAGUCUGCAUGGAGCCGACCUUGAAAUACCACCCUUUAAUGUUUGAUGUUCUAACGUGGACCCGUGAUCCGGGUUGCGGACAGUGUCUGGUGGGUAGUUUGACUGGGGCGGUCUCCUCCUAAAGAGUAACGGAGGAGCACGAAGGUUGGCUAAUCCUGGUCGGACAUCAGGAGGUUAGUGCAAUGGCAUAAGCCAGCUUGACUGCGAGCGUGACGGCGCGAGCAGGUGCGAAAGCAGGUCAUAGUGAUCCGGUGGUUCUGAAUGGAAGGGCCAUCGCUCAACGGAUAAAAGGUACUCCGGGGAUAACAGGCUGAUACCGCCCAAGAGUUCAUAUCGACGGCGGUGUUUGGCACCUCGAUGUCGGCUCAUCACAUCCUGGGGCUGAAGUAGGUCCCAAGGGUAUGGCUGUUCGCCAUUUAAAGUGGUACGCGAGCUGGGUUUAGAACGUCGUGAGACAGUUCGGUCCCUAUCUGCCGUGGGCGCUGGAGAACUGAGGGGGGCUGCUCCUAGUACGAGAGGACCGGAGUGGACGCAUCACUGGUGUUCGGGUUGUCAUGCCAAUGGCACUGCCCGGUAGCUAAAUGCGGAAGAGAUAAGUGCUGAAAGCAUCUAAGCACGAAACUUGCCCCGAGAUGAGUUCUCCCUGACUCCUUGAGAGUCCUGAAGGAACGUUGAAGACGACGACGUUGAUAGGCCGGGUGUGUAAGCGCAGCGAUGCGUUGAGCUAACCGGUACUAAUGAACCGUGAGGCUUAACCUUACAACGCCGAAGGUGUUU
rnacentral:rRNA from 1 species